rnacentral:rRNA from 1 species
UACAGAGGGUGCAAGCGUUGUUCGGAAUUAUUGGGCGUAAAGGGAGUGUAGGCUGUGAGGUAAGUCUUCUGUGAAAUCUACGGGCUUAGCCUGUAACGUGCAGAGGAAAACUGCUUCGCUUGAGUGUCGGAGAGGAUAGGGGAAUACCCGGUGUAGAGGUGAAAUUCGUAGAGAUCGGGUGGAACACCAGUGGCGAAGGC